GAUGAACGCUGGCGGCGUGCCUAAUACAUGCAAGUCGAGCGAACAGACGAGGAGCUUGCUCCUCUGACGUUAGCGGCGGACGGGUGAGUAACACGUGGAUAACCUACCUAUAAGACUGGGAUAACUUCGGGAAACCGGAGCUAAUACCGGAUAAUAUAUUGAACCGCAUGGUUCAAUAGUGAAAGACGGUUUUGCUGUCACUUAUAGAUGGAUCCGCGCCGCAUUAGCUAGUUGGUAAGGUAACGGCUUACCAAGGCAACGAUGCGUAGCCGACCUGAGAGGGUGGUAGGCCACACUGGAACUGAGACACGGUCCAGACGCCUACGAGAGGCAGCAGUAGGGAAUCGUCCGCAAUGGGCGAAAGCCUGACGGAGCAACGCCGCGUGAGUGAUGAAGGUCUUCGGAUCGUAAAACUCUGUUAUUAGGGAAGAACAAAUGUGUAAGUAACUAUGCACGUCUUGACGGUACCUAAUCAGAAAGCCACGGCUAACUACGUG
rnacentral:rRNA from 1 species